GAAACAUGCAGAUGGGAACAGGCAAGUUUCUAUAGAUUUUUUGUAUUAGUGGGACUGAGGAUAUUAACUAUGUAUGUACAAAUAGACUAGUUAUUGUCUCACCUUUAUUUUUGUAGAUAUACCCCUACUUUAAGUCGUUUACAUACUGUCUUCUCUUGCAUAUUAUUUACUGCAAAGGUAUAUCUUAAUUAUGCAUUCUCAACGUAUUUUUCAUUUUAAUUUUCCUUAUUCUAUUUAUUAAUUCAGUGCAAUUCUGUUACAAUUGAUUUUGACAGUUUGAAGACUAAGCUCUUUAGCGAUGAAACGUCUGAUUAACGGAACGACGUCCGAGCACUGGACCAUUGGUAUAUCACAACUGGACUCUUUAUUCCUGUUUCAGGAAUAUUUUUGGCUAUUUUUGGUCAUCUGCAUACUAUCCCUUGCUUUUUCCUGUAGGACUAACUACCAUACCUAUUGAGUCAAUCACCUAUCUCCUACUGCCCUUCUGAGAAAAUCCCACCCC